GAGGGGAGGGCAAAGAACAACAAUCAAGGCUCUGCUAGGUUCCCUCCCGGCGCGCUCCGGACCCUGACCCUAAGAGGAAGGUCUGAAGGCUCUAGAUCCGUGAGCGCCACCCGAAGGGCCCUGUCUGGGGUCCGGGCGCUCUUUUGGCUCCUCGCUACCUUCCACACACUUCUUCCCUCACUUUCUUAAAACCACCCCGGCUCGGCAGUUGGCAGCGACAGCGAUGGCACCAGCGACGGCAAAGUGGAGGCUGAGGCCGAGACGCCUCGUGGGCUCGUGUCCAUGCCGGGCCAGAUGAAGGGAAAGACCGGGAUUGGGGAGUCAGGGGUGCCUCGAGAGAGCAGAAGCGACCGACGGCAGUGGUUCCAGGGCUGAGCGGAAAGGGACCCUCUGCCCGCAUCCCGCCCGCGCGCCCGCCAGGGAGAGCAGCCGCCGCCGUCGCUGCCCGGCUCAGAGGGAUCCCGCCGGACCUGGCCCUUCCACUGCGGCUCACUCUGCCCUGCCUGGCGCCAGUCCUGGAUCGCCGGCUUCCCAUUUCUACCGGACUGGGUUCCUCUCGAUUCACUUUACCAUCCCGUUCCAGGUGGACCCUAACCUCCCACGCGCUCCCUCCCCCGGCAGCACCCCCACCCCCGCCCCCAAAGCUCUGGCUUGCCGGAAACCUCUCUCAGAGUCUCUCUCUGGAAGUGGCCCCGGUCAUACCUCUCUCUCGCUCUCCCCGCUUCGUUGUCUCGCACCCCCCCCAUCUUUUCCUAUUUCCCUUCCUUCUUGUUCUCCCCCCCCAUUUGCUUAUUCUUGCAAUGAGAGUUUUAUUCUUUAUGAGCGUUUGCCACACACCUACCCCCCACCCCUCUGAAAGACUCCCUCCCGUCCCUCCCCCUUCCAACAACCCGAAAGACAACAAAAAUACACACAAGGCAGACACAAGGCCAGAAACUUACCUGCUGUCAACCAGCUGCAAAGUCAAGGCUCACUUAAGCUCCCCCCCAAAAAUCAAUUGUCCUUCCUUUUUAAAGGUUUGCUCUCUCCUUGGGAGGGGGGAAAACACCUUCUGGUUCCCAACUCCAGGCAGUCACUCUUUACAAUUUAUUUUGUCGUACAUCAUUUGAUCACCAUGAAUUAGCAACAGCAAGAAAAUGUAGGAGAGGGAGAAAAGAGAGAAAGAGAGAGGGAGAGAGAGAGGAGAGAGAGAGAGAGAGAGAGGGAGAGAGAGAGGGAGCUGAGCUUUCUGCAAGAGAAGAAGAAGAAAAAAUGUACGUGUGACAAAUUAUGCUACCAAGAAACAACACAUCAUUAUCCUUGGGCCUGGGGCUCAGUGAGUCGUAACGAGAGUAAUAGGAAAUCCACGGUUGGGGAGAGAAACGGUCGUGCUUGGCCAGUAGAGAGAGACCAUACAGGGGGAUGGAUGCUGGAGAGACUCGCAAAAUUAUGGCUCAAGGCUAUUGUAAAAAUUGUCGAGCGUAAAUGACUGCGAUUUCAAACAUCUUUGGAAGAAAGAAGGGGAAAAAGCGAGCCCCCCCUCCCUCCCUCUCCCUCUCUCUCCCUCUCUCUUCUCUUCUCUCUAUAAAGAACCGUCAAGUUUUAGUGCGCAUUGCUAAUUAGUCAAUUUCUCUCUGCCUUCACAGGCUGGCGACUUCGCUGCUGAGCUGAAACUGCUAAUUUCUGUGACCAGCUUUUUUCUUAGCUGUGAUCUGGAUGAAUGAGUAGCUGUCUCACAGAGAUGACAAAAAUAAACUCUAAUCCCCCCCAAAAUUUCCACUACAUCUUUCUCAUGCAUAGAUUUAUGAUCUUCAAGCGCUCUGUGCAAUAUGCAAACUUUUUUUUGUGUCUGUAUAUAUGCUGUUGUUUCCAGAUUUUACUACAUUGGUAUGCUGCUUUUCCCUUCCACCCCCUGCCACCUCCCCACACACAUUAUGAAAUGCAGAAACUGUCUGAUCUCAAAGUAUGUUUAGAUGCCACUUUAUCCGGUCUUGGUUUUGGGGGUCUGGGGAUGACUUGGAGGACACUAGCCUUUGCCUAAGAGGUGAAUGGCUGAGUACAUAAACUGGUGGCAGGGGAAUCAAACUGGUAGACUAGAGGGUAGCCCUUUGCUUUAUAUUUAUUUUCCCUUCACUAUUCAAGCCUUAUGAUCUUGUUUGAAAACAUGGUUUUUUUUUCUAUCUUUUUGUCUGGUUAAACAACCACCUCUGAAGUUCUCUGUCAGCUCUUCAACAGAUAAGGGCUCAGAAAUCACAUUUCUUUUUAUAGGAAGAUUAUCAUAUUGUCAGACUUGUAUUUCAAUUAGGAAUCUUUGAUUUGCAGGAGCUAGAAUCAAGUGCUAGGCAACCCAGCUACAAUUUCACAAAUGUAACCUUUCAACUUUGGAGUUCACCUGAUAUAUAAGGGCAAUGACAUGGUGCUCAUAUUUCUGACCCUGCUUAGCAUGCAAAAUGAACCUCAGCAUGUUUCUGGAAUUCUAGCUGCACCAGAGAUUCAUGUGCAUUUUGGUAGAGGACAUGUUCUCCAGACUUAUCUCAUGAUGUAUUGCGCCCUUACAUUUAUAGCCCUGCAUUUCGGUUGUCAAUGGGGGUUGGAGGUGUCCAAGAAAGAAAAAAGGAAGCAGAAAGAGAAAGGUAUGCCCUUGAAUAAAAUGGACAUGAAAGAAAGCUGGACAUGAGUUAAAUUGAGUUUUGCUUGCUAUUAAAUACAUGACUAUGAUUCAUUUUAAUUUAUAUAUGCUCUGAUUAGUCUCCUUAUUAAAAUACACAUCAGGGUACCCCCCAAAGGCUGUCUUUUAACCUCCUCUUUUGAUUUGUGAGAGAUGGAAAGACACCUGCUUAAGGGAGAGGGGAGCAAACUGAAAAUUCAGAGGCUCCAAAAUAGGGAAUUCCCCAUCCAGAAUGAUAAAUGUUAACUUGCAUGUGGAAUAUUUACUCUUAAAAUAAAUGAAGAAGGAUGAAACAGAAGCAUUUAUUCCUCACAAAGGCCCUUUUCGGCCAAGGUCCUAGAUAAUCUGAGUGCAAGACUUUUUUAUUCAGAUCCUGCUGAGACACUGCAUUCUCAUAUUCAUAUUUAUAACAGAAAAGCCCAAAUACAUAGUAAAAUACAAAGGAUUUGUUUGUUUGUUUAGGACAGGGGAAAGAAAGCGAUCAGAUUAUUCAAAUCCUCUGGUCCUACCAUUUUAUUUUAUUUUUUGAAUUUCCAUUAUUUGGAUCUUGAAUAGGAAGAUUGUGAGAUUGUAAGAUAGUGCCUUUUGGGGUUCUGUCAUUAGCAAUUAAAGCUAAGUAUGUGGAGUGUCACCAAAUUCUCAUAGAUGCAAAGUACUAUUAUUAUGUUAUUGCUUUUCAUGCUGAUAUUUAUGAACUUCCAGUGAAGUAUUUUGAACUAAACCCAAAGGUGAAUAUCAGUAUUGAUUACUUAAAUUGUUCCAGCUUCCCAUUUUAUUAUAAAGGAGUUAAAGCACAUUUUGUAGGCCUCAAAAUAUCUUAGAGUUGAAUUUCUUUUCUUUCUUUUUUUAUUGAUAGAAUAUAUUGGUCAUUAAUUAUGAUUACUCGGCUCUUUAUUGCUUCCAAAAAUAUAAAAGCCAUAUUUCAAACUACCUGAAAUUUUAAUGCUUAUUUGACUACUAGGUAGAAGGGGUGAAAAGCAGGGUUAGGGUCUUGCAAUUCUAAAACAGGUGUUAAAAUGAAGUGGAAUGAUCUGUUUUCUUCUACAUCUUAAAGUUAUCCUAUUUGACAAUGCUUAUAAUUUCAGAGAAAGAAAUUACAAUUAUGAUUAUUUUGUAAGCAAUUAAAAAAAGAAUAUUGAUAAGAAAAAAUCCCUUUAUAAUCUGAGCAUAAACUAGCAUAUACAUCAUGUAAAUCUCACACCUCCAAUAUCUUGCACUGGCUUUGACUGAAAUUAUUGCAGAACUCACAAAUGAUAUGACACUAUUUACAAUAAAUCCCGUUAUGAAAGAUUCAAUUUGCAACAAUCAGAUGCUAGCUACUAAGCGAUUGUAAGUAUUUGAAUUUUAUCCUACUUCACUGUUCAACGUACAGAAAUUGCAUCUGUGUGUUUGAUCUGUCCUGCUGAGCACUAUCAGCAGCUCGCAUCUCUGCCACUAUUGUUUUUAAAAUGGCAGGAAGGACGUGACUAGUCAAGAGCACUCAGCAGGAUGGAUUUCACAUGGCAGAAGAGAAGCCAGAAUUGUCUUUGAAAAAAAUACAUAAUCGUGUAGUCAUCUAAUUCAAGCAGUCUUCAAACUUCAACAGAAUUAUCAAAAUUAUUCAUCAGUGAAUCUGCAUUUAAACUAUGUACAGCAGAAAGAUUCUGAAACUAUCACCACUAAGCAGUCUACUAGUGCUGCCAUUAGCUCCGAGCUGACUGGUUGGUCUUCAAGGUGGCAGAGAUUCAGGCCUAUCAGUGACUCUAGUUGCUCACAAGCAACUUUCUAAACUGAAUGAACUAAAGAUUAUUCUUAGGGCAGAUCUAGAAGUGUUUUACAGCCUAACUUGAAGGAGUAGCCACUCUAAAACUUUAUUUUCCUCCCUCUUGACUUUCCAGGUUCAGAUAUAUGAGCUAUCAGCAAAUUGUAUGCAUAUUUGAACCUGGCCUCACCUGUGUUUUUUUGAGUUAGUAAAUACUAUUUCCUCAUGGCCUGACCUUUAAGAUUGCUAGGAGAAAUGAUUCCAUUUUACAGAUGGAAAAAAAUUGAGAAGGACCACACAGCUCCCUCAGACUCAGGCAAAACUAGACAAAACCCAGACACUUUCUAGUUUUGAAUUUUAAAUGAGCAGUUAUGGCCAGAGAUAUCACAAAGUCAUAAGCACUAAGAAGCUUAUUGAAGAGUUAAAAACAUAAAAAUAACAACCAACAAAACAAGGAAAAUCGAAAAGCCAGAAAUAAAUAAAAACAAACCCCUGAAAUAAUAGUAAAAAAAAAUAAGAAACGGUGCUAUUGGCUAACCAUUACUCAAAAAACAAUUGUUUAGUAUUCUCUAGGGUCUGGGACAAGGAUUUGGGAGUCUAUAUCAGCUAUUCAGAUUCUCAAGAACCUAGUUCCAGCUUUUCUGGGUAGUCUGGUCUGUUAGCUGUACCUCGUGCUUCUGCUUAGGUUGUAUUCUUAUGAAGGGUUUGGUUCUUUACACAUAGAAAUCCCAAGAUUAAACUCAGAUUUCUUUCUGUUAUGAAAUGUCUACAAGCAACUUCAAAAAGAAUGACAAUUGAUUGUUUAGCUCCUUACUUGUAUGGUGUGGACACUAUUCUAAAUCCUUCAGAUUUUUUGUUUUCUUAAUAAAAUAAACAUUGGUGCCUUGCCAAUCCUAUGAGAGAGUAUAAUAGGUUAUCAAAAUGGAUCCAUCUUUCCACCUUCCUGAUAAACACACCCCCCAUUACAUUGUGGUUUUACUGAUUUUAUGUCAAGAGUAGAGUCUAUUUCUCUACUCCUUAAAUGUAAGCUGGCCUUAUGAGUUGCUUAGACCCAAUGCUCCAGAAGUGACUGAGCCAAUUCUAAGUCUAAGCCUCAAGAGGCCUUGCAUGCUUCAACUCCCCCCAGUUCAAUUCUUUGGGAACCCCAACAGCUGCCAUGUAAAGAAGCCCAGGCUAGCUUGGUGAAAGAUGGGAUACCACAUAAACCAGACAUUUCCUCACUCACCUGGUUACUGAGUGAUGCAUGAAUGAGCCCAGCUGAGACAGGAGACCCAGUAGAGUCAAAAUUGAUUAUUCACAGAACCCUAAGCUAAAUAAAUGGCUGUUCUUUCAAGUCAUUAGCUUUUGGGGGUGAUUUGUUCCACAGUAAAAUUAGCUGAUAUAGAAAGAUACUAUUAUUAUCAUUUGACUAAUGGAUAAAGUGAUGUACAAAGAUAUCAGAUAAAAAUUUCAGAAUCAUACAACUUGGAAACAAGGUAGAGCUGAGAUUCAAACCAACACAAUCUGCCUCCAGAAGUUAGUCAUUCUACUACACUGUCCAGGGCCUUCCAUACACUUUCAUUCAUUUAUUCAUUCAUUCAUUUGUCUGUUCAUCAAGUCUACAUUAAGUACUUAUCAUACACCAAACAACAUGCUAAAUAUUGAUGAUACAAUGUUGAAUAAAAUUGCAUCUUUGCCUUCAAGGGGCUAAUAUUCUAGUACAGUAAAUUAGACAUACCAACUGAAUAAUUACAAUUGAUACUUGCCCUAAAAAAGGCAAAGUAUAAGGAACUAUUGGAGUAGAAAAAAAGCAAGUCCCUAACUACCUCAUAGUAUUUAUUAUCUAUAACAUUCUUUUGACAUUGAUUGUUUACUGCUUUGUUAAUUGAUUAUUUAGGGACAUCUAUUUUAUCAUCAUAACUAGAUUAUAAGUUUCCUGGGGGAAAAAUUCCUUCUUCUUGGUAAAAUUUCCUAUGGUGCAUAGCUUCAUACCUGUCCAUAAUAGUAUUCAAUAAAUAUAUUCAUGGACUAUUAAGGGUGAUUUUUCAAAUUUAUCUAGAGAAAUAGGAGAAAGAAUGGGGGGGUGAAUUUUAGAAACUAUUUUGGGCAUUUGACCAAAGUAGUAUCAGUUAGUCUCCCAAAUGUACUGAUUUAUUGUUUGCAAUUAAGAAAAUUCUUAUACUCUUAUGCAAUUAUUGUUCCACAACAUAUAGAGCAGAGUUGGUGGGAUGUUGGUAAAAAUCUUUUACCUAUGGCAAACAUCACCUAGCAAAACUCUCUGAAAAGUUGGAAAAUAGUUACUUUCAUGGAAAUAUUAAUUAAACUACUAAACAAAGGUAGCAGAGUGCUGUGACUCUGAGUAUAGAUCUGGAAGCGGACCCCUUAGGGCUUGAAUCCUGGCUCUGGUACUUUCCACCUCUUCGCAGUUUCCUCAUCUGAGAGUGGGGGUAAUAAUAGCAUCUAUUUUAAGGCAUUUUUUGAUGUUAAAUUUUUGUAAAUAUAUGUAAAGUGCCUAGAAUAGUGUCAGACAUAAUGAAUAUAAUUCAAUGAUUAUUGAGUAAAAGAUAAACAGACAUAGCUACAGAAUUCCCUACUUAAUCUUCCUUUUAUUUUUUCUUUUCUACAGGUUAUGCUUAGGGUUCUACAACUACAAGUAGUCAAAUGCUUCCAGAGAGAUUUUCAAGAACACUCUUACUAUGCAAGAUGCAGAUCUUUAGAAUUCUCAUCUUUAAGACAAGCUUCCACUUGUAACUGUCUUCAUAAACCUGAAAUGUAUGUACUAUUGAUAUAAAUUUCAAUAACACAUCCGAAGUGGGUAAAAUUUGUCAGUUGAAUCUUAUCUGGAAAUACUUACUUGCUCAUUUAAUGAAUGUGCACUUUAGAUAUUUUUGGGGGUGAAGCCAAAGCAUAAUGAUUUUAGGUUGUAUGCACAGUAUAUAGUUUUGAAGGUAAAUUUUUAUAAGUGUGUUGUAAUUAUUAUUGUUCCCCACCCCCAAAAUUACUAUUUCUUAUCAUGGGUAGUACAUGUUAAGUUUAUUUUUCCAAAACUGUCAUUUUUUAACAUAAAAUUUUUAUGUUUUCAUAAGAUGCAGAAUACUUCUAGAAUUCACUUUGAAACAUUUAUAGAACAGAUUAAGAUUUAUAGGAAAAACGAGUGGACAGCACAGAGAACCCCAAGAAUCUAGAGCAUGGUGUUAUUAGUAUUAUCUUCCAUUAGUAUGUAUGGUGCAUGAAUAAUAUUGAUGAUUUAUUAUUAAAGUCCAUAGAUUAUUCAGAUGUCUUUAGUUUUUAUGUGCUGUUCUUCCUGUGUUCCAGGAUCACAUCCGAUGGACCACAUUACAUUUGAUUGUCAUGUUUCCUAGGCUUCUUUUACCUACACAGUUUCCCACACUUGCACUGUUUUUGAUGACCCUGAUGAUUUUCAGGAGUAUUGGCCAGCUAAUUUGUAAAUUGCUCCUUCACUUAAACUUGUCUCACCAUUACACUGUGGUUAUAGAUUUUUGUGAGGAGGACCACAGUGAUAAAGAUCCAUUUUUGUUAUGUAUCAAUAUGAGUUAUCACUCUUUUUUUUUUUUUUUUUGGUACCAGGGAUUGAACUCAGGGCCACUUGACUGCUG